rnacentral:rRNA from 1 species
UACGUAGGUGGCAAGCGUUGUCCGGAUUUAUUGGGUUUAAAGGGUGCGUAGGCGGCUUUGUAAGUCAGUGGUGAAAUAUGUCAGCUCAACUGUUGAUGUGCCAAUGAUACUGACAGGCUUGAGUACAGACGAGGUAGGCGGAAUUGACAGUGUAGCGGUGAAAUGCAUAGAUAUUGUCAAGAACACCGAUAGCGAAGGCAGCUUGCUAGCCUGUAACUGACGCUGAGGCACGAAAGUGUGGGGAUCAAACAGG